GGCGAACGGGUGAGUAACAUAUCGGAACGUGCCCUGGAGUGGGGGAUAACUAGUCGAAAGAUUAGCUAAUACCGCAUACGAUCUACGGAUGAAAGUGGGGGAUCGCAAGACCUCAUGCUCGUGGAGCGGCCGAUAUCUGAUUAGCUAGUUGGUGGGGUAAAGGCCUACCAAGGCAUCGAUCAGUAGCUGGUCUGAGAGGACGACCAGCCACACUGGGACUGAGACACGGCCCAGACUCCUACGGGAGGCAGCAGUGGGGAAUUUUGGACAAUGGGCGCAAGCCCAUGAUCCAGCAAUGCCGCGUGAGUGAAGAAGGCCUUCGGGUUGUAAAGCUCUUUUGUCAGGGAAGAAACGGCCGGGCUAAUAUCCUGGCCUAAUGACGGUACCUGAAGAAUAAGCACCGGCUAACUACGUGCCAGCCGCCGCGG
rnacentral:rRNA from 1 species